rnacentral:lncRNA from 1 species
UCUCCUUCUGCCGCAAGGCAGCUGUGCUGCCAGCCUUCUGUCCUCCCUUUAUUUUCUGCAGCUGUCCUCUCCUUGUUCUGCCAGUCAAGCUGCCAAAGGCAGCUUGUGACCUCACCUCAUGCUCAAGCUGCCCCGUUUCUUUUUUUAUCUUUCCUGCACGCUGCCUUCUGUUUCAUUCUUUCCCCUUUCUUCUAAUCCGUCCUCCUUGGAUCCUUUUAGCUGUCUCUCACUCAUCUCUCCACCGCUGCCCAAAAGCAGCUUUCUCCUUUAUUCUUCUUUUUUUUUAUUUCUGGCCUCACCUCCCCGUAGCUAAGUUGUCCUCCUCUUAUUUUCUGUUAUGCCACAAAACAUGAAUCAUGAUGAUGUUUCAAACAUCAUCAUGAUUUAUUAUUAUUAUUUCUUUUAUUAAUUUUAUGUAAAAGUUGAUUUACACAGACAGGUUUAACGAAUUUAUUACAUAAAAUUUCACUUGUUCUAUUUUUAUUUUCUUUGCAUAACAAAUCCUAUAAACACAAAAAUAACGUAAAUAGCUCAAAAAUAUAAGGAACUAACUAAGAAAAGACGAGUGAAUUCGAAGUAAAAAUAUAUAUAAAUAUGAUCCGAUCACCCAAAUUUAAAUCCAACGGCUAAAAUAAUUAAAAAAAAUUAUUUAACUCAAAAUUCACCAAAAAACUCUAUAAAUACCUAUGUAUUUGUUCAAACAUUCACACAAAACUCAAUUUUCUCCUACAAUUCUUCCAAUUUAUCUUUCUAUCAUUUCUUUCCAUUUCCAAAUUGUUCAACAUGGUAAGAGAACAUAUUAGAGGUCGUAAUUGGACAUGUGAGGAAGAUGUUAGCCCAGGGUUGAAAGAUUGGUGAAAGUUGAAGGCUUGCUUUGUGGAAAAUUUAGUGAUUUUCAAUAUUUAUCGGAAUUUAAAUAUUUUUAGAUUAAAAUGUUCAUAAAAUUAAUUUACGAUAGUCUACAUAUAUAU